rnacentral:misc_RNA from 1 species
GAUGAAGAACGCAGCGAAAUGCGAUAAGUAGCGUGAAUUGCAGAAUUCAGUGAAUCAUCGAAUCUUUGAACGCACAUUGCGCCCUUUGGUAUUCCUUAGGGCAUGCCUGUUCGAGCGUCAUUUAAACCUUCAAGCUCAGCUUGGUGUUGGGUGACUGUCCGCUUCACCGCGGACUCGCCUCAAAAUUAUUGGCGGCCGGUACAUUGGCUUCGAGCGCAGCAGAAACGCGAACUCGGGCCCGUCGUAUUGGCUCCCAGAAGCUAUCUUCACAAUUUUGACCUCGGAUCAGGUAGGGAUACCCGCUGAACUUAAGCAUAUCAAUAAGCGGAGGA